rnacentral:rRNA from 1 species
UACGUAGGGUGCAAGCGUUAAUCGGAAUUACUGGGCGUAAAGCGUGCGCAGGCGGCUAUGCAAGUCAGAUGUGAAAUCCCCGGGCUCAACCUGGGAACUGCAUUUGUGACUGCAUGGCUAGAGUACGGUAGAGGGGGAUGGAAUUCCGCGUGUAGCAGUGAAAUGCGUAGAUAUGCGGAGGAACACCGAUGGCGAAGGCAAGAGACUGGUCCAUUUCCUGACGCUGAAACACGAAAGCGUGGGUCGCGAAUGGG